rnacentral:lncRNA from 1 species
AUCGAUGACUCCAAAGCAUGAAAACGAUCGGUUCAGUUCAUCUUCCCCUCUCUUCUUCGGUCCUCAUUCGCUCAGUGCAUUGCAGACUCUACCUCCUACAUGCUUAGGUUAGAUGGAUCUAUGAGGUAGAUGAUGACGACGACGACCGUGUUCAUGAAAGUUGUUCUUGCCCCAUGGUGUGUUCUCUGUGGCCUCUACAUACCAGGCUGAAUUGGAGCUCAGAGCUUGGAAGCAUGAUGAAGACCUGAACCAGCAAGUAUGACAAGCUUGUCUCCUUGUGGAACGUUGAGUGCGUGCAUCAGCUUCACACAUCACUGCAGCUCAUCUGUUUGAUGAACCCGCUUCACAAUGACCAGGUUAGGAUGUUCUCCAGAGGCUUAGGAGGAUUCUUAGAGCCAUGCCAUCUUGUUAUGCAUGACAUUAAAGUAAUGGAUACAUACAUGGUGCAUUAUAGUUGGAUCAUCCGACCUAUUUGAUAGACUCUACCACCGCCCACGAGAAAAAGACCAGUUCCUUGUUCAUCCUGAUGUCUACUAUAAACUGCUACUUUAUCAUGAAAACCGUGUUUUCAUAAGAAUGUUUGGUUGCAAGUUGGUGAAUGUUGAUCUCUAUGGUGCUUGCAGCUUGUAACAUGAAGUAUUUUAUUGUCCUCACAUGCAUGACAUCAGAAUCAUUGCCUCCUCAGAAUCUAGCAGAUAAGACUUCAUACUCAUACUUCAGCUACGUUAGAUUAGAUGUUGAAAAUCAAGAU